rnacentral:rRNA from 1 species
UACGUAGGGCGCAAGCGUUGUCCGGAAUUAUUGGGCGUAAAGAGCUUGUAGGUGGCUUGUCGCGUCUGCUGUGAAAACCCGAGGCUCAACCUCGGGCCUGCAGUGGGUACGGGCAGACUAGAGUGCGGUAGGGGAGAUUGGAACUCCUGGUGUAGCGGUGGAAUGCGCAGAUAUCAGGAAGAACACCGAUGGCGAAGGCAGAUCUCUGGGCCGUAACUGACGCUGAGGAGCGAAAGCAUGGGGAGCGAACAGGAUUA